UAACACGGGGGGAGCAAGCGUUGUUCGGAAUCACUGGGCGUAAAGGGCGUGUAGGCGGUCAAGUAAGUGGGAUGUGAAAUGCCCCGGCUCACCCGGGGACCGGCAUCUCAAACUGCUGGGCUAGAGUACGGGAGAGGAUGAGGGAAUUCCUGGUGUAGCGGUGAAAUGCGUAGAUAUCAGGAGGAACACCGGUGGCGAAAGCGCUCAUCUGGCCCGAUACUGACGCUGAGGCGCGAAAGCUAGGGGAGCAAACGG
rnacentral:rRNA from 1 species